rnacentral:rRNA from 1 species
CAGUCGCCACGGGAAUACGAAGGGGGCUAGCGUUGCUCGGAAUCACUGGGCGUAAAGGGUGCGUAGGCGGGUCUUUAAGUCAGGGGUGAAAUCCUGGAGCUCAACUCCAGAACUGCCUUUGAUACUGAAGAUCUUGAGUUCGGGAGGGGUGAGUGGAACUGCGAGUGUAGAGGUGAAAUUCGUAGAUAUUCGGAGGAACACCAGUGGCGAAGGCGGCUCACUGGUCCAUUACUGACGCUGAGGUGCGAAAGCGUGGGGAGCAAACAGGAUUAGAUACCCCCGUAGUCCCUGUCUCUUAUAC